CCAAUAGCGUAUAUUAAAGUUGUUGCAGUUAAAAAGCUCGUAGUUGAAUUUCGGGACCAAUUUGUUGGUCGUGCCUCGGUACGUACUGGUAUUAUUGGUUUCUCCCUUCUGAAGAACCAUGAUGCCAUUAAUUUGGUUUCGUGGGGAAUCAGGACUGUUACUUUGAAAAAAUUCGAGUGUUUAAAGCAGGCAUACGCUUGAAUACAUUAGCAUGGAAUAAUGACAUAGGCCGUUUGAUUCUAUUUUGUUGGUUUCUAGGAUCGACGUAAUGGUUAAUAGGGAUAGUUGGGGGCAUUAGUAUUCAAUUGUCAGAGGUGAAAUUCUUGGAUUUAUUGAAGACUAACUACUGCGAAAGCAUUUGCCAAGGAUGUUUUCAUUAAUCAAGAACGAAAGUUAGGGGAUCGAAGACGAUCAGAUACCGUCGUAGUCUUAACCAUAAACUAUGCCGACUAGGGAUCGGAUGAUGUUAAUUUUUUAAUGACUCAUUCGGCGCCUUACG
rnacentral:rRNA from 1 species